rnacentral:rRNA from 1 species
UACGUAGGGGGCAAACGUUGUCCGGAUUUAUUGGGCGUAAAGAGCGUGUAGGCGGCCAGGUAGGUCAGCUGUGAAAACUCGAGGCUCAACCUCGAGACGUCGGUUGAAACCACCUGGCUAGAGUCCGGAAGAGGAGACUGGAAUUCCUGGUGUAGCGGUGAAAUGCGCAGAUAUCAGGAGGAACACCGGUGGCGAAGGCGGGUCUCUGGGCCGAUAUCGACGCUGAGGAGCGAAAGCGUGGGGAGCGAACAGG